GGGUUGUGAGGUUAAGCGACUAAGCGUACACGGUGGAUGCCCUGGCAGUCAGAGGCGAUGAAGGGCGUGCUAAUCUGCGAUAAGCGCCGGUAAGGUGAUAUGAACCGUUAUAACCGGCGAUACCCGAAUGGGGAAACCCAGUGUGAUUCGUCACACUAUCAUUAACUGAAUCCAUAGGUUAAUGAGGCGAACCGGGGGAACUGAAACAUCUAAGUACCCCGAGGAAAAGAAAUCAACCGAGAUUCCCCCAGUAGCGGCGAGCGAACGGGGAGGAGCCCAGAGCCUGAAUCAGCAUGUGUGUUAGUGGAAGCGUCUGGAAAGGCGCGCGAUACAGGGUGACAGCCCCGUACACAAAAGCGCAUGUGCUGUGAGCUCGAUGAGUAGGGCGGGACACGUGGUAUCCUGUCUGAAUAUGGGGGGACCAUCCUCCAAGGCUAAAUACUCCUGACUGACCGAUAGUGAACCAGUACCGUGAGGGAAAGGCGAAAAGAACCCCGGCGAGGGGAGUGAAAAAGAACCUGAAACCGUGUACGUACAAGCAGUGGGAGCNNNNNNNNNNNNNNNNNNNNNNNNNNNNNNNNNNNNNNNNNNNNNNNNNNNNGGGCGUUAAGUUGCAGGGUAUAGACCCGAAACCCGGUGAUCUAGCCAUGGGCAGGUUGAAGGUUGGGUAACACUAACUGGAGGACCGAACCGACUAAUGUUGAAAAAUUAGCGGAUGACCUGUGGCUGGGGGUGAAAGGCCAAUCAAACCGGGAGAUAGCUGGUUCUCCCCGAAAGCUAUUUAGGUAGCGCCUCGUGAAUUCAUCUCCGGGGGUAGAGCACUGUUUCGGCUAGGGGGCCAUCCCGGCUUACCAACCCGAUGCAAACUGCGAAUACCGGAGAAUGUUAUCACGGGAGACACACGGCGGGUGCUAACGUCCGUCGUGAAGAGGGAAACAACCCAGACCGCCAGCUAAGGUCCCAAAGUCAUGGUUAAGUGGGAAACGAUGUGGGAAGGCCCAGACAGCCAGGAUGUUGGCUUAGAAGCAGCCAUCAUUUAAAGAAAGCGUAAUAGCUCACUGGUCGAGUCGGCCUGCGCGGAAGAUGUAACGGGGCUAAACCAUGCACCGAAGCUGCGGCAGCGNNNNNNNNUGCUGGAGGUAUCAGAAGUGCGAAUGCUGACAUAAGUAACGAUAAAGCGGGUGAAAAGCCCGCUCGCCGGAAGACCAAGGGUUCCUGUCCAACGUUAAUCGGGGCAGGGUGAGUCGACCCCUAAGGCGAGGCCGAAAGGCGUAGUCGAUGGGAAACGGGUUAAUAUUCCCGUACUUGGUGUUACUGCGAAGGGGGGACGGAGAAGGCUAUGUUGGCCGGGCGACGGUUGUCCCGGUUUAAGCGUGUAGGUGUGUGUUCCAGGUAAAUCCGGUUCACUUUAACACUGAGGCGUGACGACGAGGCACUACGGUGCUGAAGCAACAAAUGCCCUGCUUCCAGGAAAAGCCUCUAAGCAUCAGGUAACAUCAAAUCGUACCCCAAACCGACACAGGUGGUCAGGUAGAGAAUACCAAGGCGCUUGAGAGAACUCGGGUGAAGGAACUAGGCAAAAUGGUGCCGUAACUUCGGGAGAAGGCACGCUGACACGUAGGUGAAGUGAUUUACUCAUGGAGCUGAAGUCAGUCGAAGAUACCAGCUGGCUGCAACUGUUUAUUAAAAACACAGCACUGUGCAAACACGAAAGUGGACGUAUACGGUGUGACGCCUGCCCGGUGCCGGAAGGUUAAUUGAUGGGGUCAGCGCAAGCGAAGCUCCUGAUCGAAGCCCCGGUAAACGGCGGCCGUAACUAUAACGGUCCUAAGGUAGCGAAAUUCCUUGUCGGGUAAGUUCCGACCUGCACGAAUGGCGUAAUGAUGGCCAGGCUGUCUCCACCCGAGACUCAGUGAAAUUGAACUCGCUGUGAAGAUGCAGUGUACCCGCGGCAAGACGGAAAGACCCCGUGAACCUUUACUAUAGCUUGACACUGAACAUUGAGCCUUGAUGUGUAGGAUAGGUGGGAGGCUUUGAAGUGUGGACGCCAGUCUGCAUGGAGCCGACCUUGAAAUACCACCCUUUAAUGUUUGAUGUUCUAACGUGGACCCGUUACCCGGGUUGCGGACAGUGUCUGGUGGGUAGUUUGACUGGGGCGGUCUCCUCCUAAAGAGUAACGGAGGAGCACGAAGGUUGGCUAAUCCUGGUCGGACAUCAGGAGGUUAGUGCAAUGGCAUAAGCCAGCUUGACUGCGAGCGUGACGGCGCGAGCAGGUGCGAAAGCAGGUCAUAGUGAUCCGGUGGUUCUGAAUGGAAGGGCCAUCGCUCAACGGAUAAAAGGUACUCCGGGGAUAACAGGCUGAUACCGCCCAAGAGUUCAUAUCGACGGCGGUGUUUGGCACCUCGAUGUCGGCUCAUCACAUCCUGGGGCUGAAGUAGGUCCCAAGGGUAUGGCUGUUCGCCAUUUAAAGUGGUACGCGAGCUGGGUUUAGAACGUCGUGAGACAGUUCGGUCCCUAUCUGCCGUGGGCGCUGGAGAACUGAGGGGGGCUGCUCCUAGUACGAGAGGACCGGAGUGGACGCAUCACUGGUGUUCGGGUUGUCAUGCCAAUGGCACUGCCCGGUAGCUAAAUGCGGAAGAGAUAAGUGCUGAAAGCAUCUAAGCACGAAACUUGCCCCGAGAUGAGUUCUCCCUGAGACUUAAAGUCUCCUGAAGGAACGUUGAAGACGACGACGUUGAUAGGCCGGGUGUGUAAGCGCAGCGAUGCGUUGAGCUAACCGGUACUAAUGAACCGUGAGGCUUAACCUUACAACGCCGAAG
rnacentral:rRNA from 1 species